UUAUAUAAGUCUGAAUUAAAAUAAUAAUAUGUAAUUUAUCUAAUAUUUUCUAAAUUUAAAAUGGUAUUAAAACUCGAGCCGGUGGAUUUUGGCUACUCAUAAGGUUGUGUUGGAAUCUAAGUUGCACAUUGUGAGAAGGGAGUGUUGGAAUCUAAGUUUCACAUCGUGGGGAUGAAAGGGUAGAUAAUAAAUAUAAGUGAUUAAGUUGUAACAUUAAAUUGGCUAAUCA
rnacentral:misc_RNA from 1 species